AAUGUUCAUAUUUCAGUAUUUC
rnacentral:miRNA from 1 species